rnacentral:rRNA from 1 species
GCCGUUGGAGACCACAACGUUGAUAGGUGGGGUGUGUAAGCGUAGCGAUACGUUGAGCUAACCCAUACUAAUUACCCGUGAGGCUUAACCAU